rnacentral:tRNA from 1 species
GCCCAGGUGGCGGAAUUGGUAGACGCGUUGGUCUCAAACACCAAUGUCGCAAGACGUGUCGGUUCGAGCCCGACCCUGGGUA